CAACAUUCUCGGAAGCGAGCGCACCCAGCGACCUUUUAAGCGCGUCUGCCCU
rnacentral:sRNA from 1 species